GCAAGGGAGGGGCAGAGCGGGGAGAGAGAGUGAGGAGGCAAAGGAUGGGCGAGAAAGCCAAUCUCCCAGCUGGUGCAGAGCCCCCCACAGUGCCUCACUGAUAACGUAUAACAGAGAUUCGCGCCCCCUGACCCGCGUGGCUGACUCUGAAACUGAUUCCCGCCUCGCACAGAGCACUCUCCGGCGACUCGCGUGAAAACGGUCAGGCAAACUCACACGCUACAGCCAACGCAAUACGGGAAGCCAGACUCGCCCACAAACAAGGUACCCCCAGAGGUUUGAAGAGGCGGUUGGAACCCCUGGAGCUGUGAUUAUGGUGGUCGUGAGCUGCCUGGCAUAGGUGCUGGGAUUUGAACUUGAGUCUUCUGGAAGAGCAGUGAGUGCUCUUAACCUCUGAGCCACCUCUACAGCCCUCAACUAAACUUCUGAAAGAAUGUCUGUUGUGUGUGAGCGUGUUCGUGUGGAGACCAGAGCUUUAUGGAAUGGAUCAAGGAGGAUAACCUCAAAUUUUUAUAAACGGGAUCUUCACCAACCCAGUAAGAAUUCAGGACUCUCAACAGCGGCAUCCAGCUCUCUUCUCAGCUCUCUCCGUCUGAAGGCUUCGGACAAAUGUUAGCUGGCUAACACCAUGGUGGACAGGUUUGCACUCCUGGAUGGACCUGUACGCACCCAGCGUGGGUCACCCGAUGGCUGCCGCCAGCUAUAUAACGUAUUUGGAUUGUAUUUGCCCUCCAUUACUUUCUCCUACACCUCAGCCCUUCUUUCUAACAAGUUUCUCCUACUGUCAGGGGUUCUGGUUUUUGUUUUGACCCACUUUGUUGAAUUAUAGUUGUUUCUGUUAGUG